rnacentral:rRNA from 1 species
UACGGGGGGGGCAAGCGUUGUUCGGAAUUACUGGGCGUAAAGGGCGCGUAGGCGGUUCGCUAAGUUGAAUGUGAAAACUCUGGGCUUAACCCAGAGCCUGCAUUCAAUACUGGCGGGCUAGAGUUCUGGAGGGGAUAGGCGGAAUUCCUGGUGUAGCGGUGAAAUGCGUAGAUAUCAGGAGGAACACCAGCGGCGAAGGCGGCGCUCUGGGCCGGAACUGACGCUGAGGAGCGAAAGCGUGGGUAGCAAACAGG